AUUUGAUAGUUACAUUUUUAAUUUAGACUUGCAUAUUUGUUAAGCUAACGGAAAUUGUUUCUAGGUCGUUCCCAUCUACUACAGUGACAUUUAGGAUUUCAGACUGCUGUCGCUCCGUUUAAAUCGCAUUAAGCGCUUAACAUUUAAAAACCCCUUCUUCAAGUCAUCUCUGGCAUAAAUAAAGAUGAUGAUUCCCUCAAACACACCCCUUCACGGGUGUGCAUAAGAAUCGGUCAGCUGAGGCAGCACCCCCAUCCAUCUGACAAAGCGGGGCCCAACAAUCAAAGUCAACGUCUUCCUCUUUGUGAUGCCACAAGAAUAUGUGUGUUGUUUGGAACUCAGAAGUUAAAUCCCAUCGAGUUUCAAGGAGUUCGGUCCCAGGAAACUGGGUUUAAGAUGAAUCCAGAGAACCUCCAUGUGUCAGUGAAGUAUACCUUUGAACACCAGCUGUUGAGAACUACAGUGGUGCCUUGCUAGACAGUUACCCCGCAUGACAGUUUUUUCGCUAGACUUUGACUUUUUGCGAUUGGUAUAAAGAUUCGCAAAACAGUGAUUCCUAUGGGGGAAUUUUGCUGGACAAUGUUUGGUCCUUGCUUCGCAAACCGAUUUUCGCUAGACGCCGAUUUUGACAGCUUCCUCCACGCUCGCAAAACAGGUGUUUUCAGGACCUAAGCUUCGCAAGACAGCGAUUUAAACAGCUGGUCGGCGGUUCGCAAAGCGGCUUUCCUAUGGCCGAUCUUCGCUAGACAACGACGAUUCUUCCCCAUUGGAAUGCAUUAAACAGGUUUCAAUGCAUUCCAAUGGGGAAAUGCUUUUCGCUAGACGAUGAUUUUGCUAAACAGCGAUUUCAGUGGAACGGAUUAUCAUCAUCUAGCGAGGCACCACUGUACUGAGAAACUCUUUUACUGUCUAGCUGCAUGUGAACGGCUAGAGGUAUCACCCUCUUGCUCAUCAAAUCUAACUCAUUUCUUCUUCUUCUAACUAUUUUAUUGUUAUACAUACAAAGCAACAAAGUAAGACAUAACAAAAACAGCAAGCACAUCCAUACUACAUAUACAGAUCACAGAUUCCGCCAUCGUCAAGGUAAUCUAAUAUCAUCAAAGGGUUCUUGUAAGCAUUGGUUUGCCACGAUCAUUUCUUCCCCUAAGUUUCUGUCUGUUUCUGAACCCAAUUGUACAUCAGCUUCCAUCUUUUCCAUUAUAAAGGACCUCGGUUGAUCCCGCUUGCCUCUGAAAGCAUAUCUAGUUCUGCAAGAUCCAGUAGCUUUUUCAAUAGCUACUAUUUUUAAAAAAAUCUAUUUUAAAAAUCUAGCUCAUUUCUUAAAACCCUGACACUUCCUGGCUCUGGUUAUUUCAGAAAGAACAGAAUUCAUUCUCUCUAAACAAAAAGUCAACAAGCAAGAAAACGGCAGGUAAAGAAGCUGAAACCCACGAAUAAACUUGUUUUAGACGUUCUUUCA
rnacentral:lncRNA from 1 species